rnacentral:rRNA from 1 species
GAAGUGGAAGCGGCAACAGCUCAAAUUUGAAAUCUGGCCUUUUGGUCCGAAUUGUAAUUUGUAGAAGGUGCUUCGGAUUUGAUAAUGGAUCAAGUUCUUUGGAAUUGGACAUCAGAGAGGGUGAUAAUCCCGUUUCGACCAAUUAUCUGUCCAUGUGAAGCCCUUUCGACGAGUCGAGUUGUUUGGGAAUGCAGCUCAAAAUGGGUGGUAAAUUUCAUCUAAAGCUAAAUAUCAGCCAGAGACCGAUAGCGCACAAGUAGAGUGAUCGAAAGAUGAAAAGCACUUUGAAAAGAGAGUUAAAAAGCACGUGAAAUUGUUGAAAGGGAAGCGCUUGCAACCAGACUUGCUCGUAGUGUUCAGCCUCCUGAAAAGGUGGUGCACUCUCUGCGAGCGGGCCAACAUCGGUUUUGGCGGUCGGACAAAAGCUCGAGGAAAGUAGCUCUCUACGGAGUGUGUUAUAGCCUCUUGCACAAUGCGGCCAGUCAAGACCGAGGACUUUUGCGCUUAUGCUAGGAUGUUGGCGUAAUGGUUGUCAGCGACCCGUCUUGAAACACGGACCAAGGAGUUGAGAAACUAUGCGAGCGUUAGGGUUUCAAACCCUUCCGCGUAAUGAAAGUGAACGUAGGUGGGAGCCUUUCGGGCGCACCAUCGACCGAUCUGAGUUCGCGAGGAUUUGAGUAUGAGUGUAGUUUUCCAGACCCGAAAGAAGGUGAACUAUUGCUGACUAGGGUGAAGCCAGAGGAAACUCUGGUGGAGGCUCGCAGCGGUUCUGACGUGCAAAUCGAUCGUCAAAGCUGGCAAUAGGGGCGAAAGACUAAUCGAACCUUCUAGUAGCUGGUUCCUGUCGAAGUUUCCCUCAGGAUAGCAGUAACGAUAACAGUCUCAUGAGGUAGAGCAACGAUUAGAAGCAUUGGGGUGUUAAACAUCUUAACUUAUUCUCGAACUCCGAAUAUGUGAGAAGUCCUUGUUUCUUAAUUGAACGUGGACAUUGGAUUACGUAGUGGCU